UGAGGAAUAUUGGACAAUGGAGGCAACUCUGAUCCAGCCAUGCCGCGUGAAGGACUAAGGCCCCAUGGAUUGUAAACUUCUUUUAUUCGAGGGUAAAGUGAGGUACGUGUACCUUAUUGCAAGUAUCGAAUGAAUAAGCAUCGGCUAACUCCGUGCCAACAGCCGCGGUAAUACGGAGGAUGCGAGCGUUAUCCGGAUUUAUUGGGUUUAAAGGGUGCGUAGGCGGAUUAUUAAGUCAGCGGUGAAAGCGUGUGGCUCAACCAUACAAUUGCCGUUGAUACUGGUAGUCUUGAGUGUAAACGAGGUAGGCGGAAUGUGAUGUGUAGCGGUGAAAUGCUUAGAUAUGUCACAGAACCCCGAUUGCGAAGGCAGCUUACCAGGAUACGACUGACGCUGAGGCACGAAAGCGUGGGUAUCAAACAGGAUUAGAUACCCUGGUAGU
rnacentral:rRNA from 1 species